GGUUGAUCCUGCCAGUCUUAUAUGCUUGUCACAAAGAUUAAGCCAUGCAUGUGUAAGUAUAAACUAAUUAUACGGUGAAACUGCGAAUGGCUCAUUAAAUCAGCAUAAAUCUACUUGAUCGUACAAUUUUUCUUACAUGGAUAACCGUAGGAAAUCUAGGGCUAAUACAUGCUAAAAGCGCUGACUACUGGGGGUAGCAAUACUCUUUGGUUCGGAAGGCGUGAAUUUAUUAGAUUAAAAAACCAAUGUGGAGUUCGCUCCACUCAAUUUCCUAGACGAUUCAUGAUAACGC
rnacentral:rRNA from 1 species